rnacentral:rRNA from 1 species
GGCGUGCCUAACACAUGCAAGUCGAACGGUAACAGGGACUUCGGUCCGCUGACGAGUGGCGCACGGGUGAGUAACGCGUGGAGUUACCUACCCAUCAGUGAGGAACAACCUGGAGAAAUCCAGGCUAAUACCGCAUACGACCUUCGGGUGAAAGAGGGGGAUCUUCGGACCUCUCGCUGAUGGAUGGUUCCGCGUCCGAUUAGUUAGUUGGUAAGGUAAUGGCUUACCAAGACGAUGAUCGGUAGCUGGUUUGAGAGGAUGAUCAGCCACACUGGAACUGAGACACGGUCCAGACUCCUACGGGAGGCAGCAGUGGGGAAUUUUGCACAAUGGGCGCAAGCCUGAUGCAGCGACGCCGCGUGCGGGAAGAAGGCCUUCGGGUUGUAAACCGCUUUCAACAGGGAAGAAGGAAUGAGGGUCAAUACCCCUCUGCCUUGACGGUACCUGUAGAAGAAGCCCCGGCUAAUUUCGUGCCAGCAGCCGCGGUAAUACGAAAGGGGCAAGCGUUGUUCGGAUUUACUGGGCGUAAAGAGAUCGUAGGUGGCUUGUUAAGUCGGAUGUGAAAUCCCGGGGCUCAACCCCGGAACUGCAUUCGAUACUGGCAGGCUUGAGUUCGGGAGGGGGAAGCGGAAUUCCGUGUGUAGCAGUGAAAUGCGUAGAUAUACGGAGGAACACCUGAGGCGAAGGCGGCUUCCUGGACCGAUACUGACACUGAGGAUCGAAAGCGUGGGUAGCAAACAGGAUUAGAUACCCUGGUAGUCCACGCCCUAAACGAUGUCUACUAGCCGUUGCGGGUAUCGACCCCUGCAGUGGCGCAGCUAACGCGAUAAGUAGACCGCCUGGGGA